rnacentral:lncRNA from 1 species
AAACAGAGGAAGACAAACAUAAAGAUGAAGUGCUUAAUUCAAGGUCACACAAUGUCGGGGAUGGACCUCCAGAUUUCCUUACUGACCUGCAUUAUCUUGUGGAUACCUGAGUGAAUUCCACACCACCCAUUUUAUAGAUGAAACCACUGAGACAUGGAGCAAUUGACUGAGUAGUCACUGCCCCACCCCUGCCUGGAGCCUCACACAUGACUCGCCUCCUCUCAGUGACCACAGGUGAGACGUGGUCUUGUAACACAGUGGUUAAGAAUGUGACUUUGGAGCCAGCCUGCUAGGGGCUGAAUUCUGACUCAGCCAUUUACUAACUGUGUGACCUUAGGUGGAGUCUCACUCUGUAGCCCAAGCUGGAGUGGCGUGAUCUCGACUCACUGCAACCUCCGCCUCCUGGGAUCAAGUGAUUCUCGUGCCUCAGCCUCCUGAGUAGCCGGGACUACAGGUCACAGAAUUUUCCACACUCCUUGACAGAGGUGCUUAACCCUUAUCCAUCAGCAUUCUCAGACAGCACCUCCGGUUAGGGACAGUAUCUGACCGUCCGACAUCCCUGCAGCCCCCAUGUGUCACACAGACUCAGCCUCAGGUAGAUGGUUUCCGUAGAUGGUGGCUUUCUUUGGACCCUUGACAUCAACCAGUUACUAUUUGGGGACCAGAUGUGCAGAGGUAAUGAAUACCAGGGAAUCAGGAAACCACUGGAUCAGUUCUUUGAGCCACAGAACAACACUCAUCCCAGCAGCUGGGAAGCUAUCUGCAAAAGUCCAUCUGCAGAAAGGGCUUCCUGGUCUUGCGUGUGGCUGGGCCAUUUCUCUGGAUGCAGGUUUUUCAUUAUACAGUCUUCUCAAAGAACCACCUGCUCUCAACACCUUCUCGGUGACUCCAUUUCCCCUCCUCUGGGCUCCUGGAAUGCCACAAUGGCCCCACCUUAGCCAGGCAGCUGUGAUGAGAGGUGUUGACCCAACUGCCUCUCUGCUGGCUCACUGAAUCAGGUGGAAGGGGCUGGGGACAGCACAGUCUUGCAUUGUGGUUGGGGACCUGGGCCAUCCAGAGGCAGGACUGUCCAAAGGCAGGGUACUGCUGGGAUUCCGCCAGGCACUGGGUGAUGCAUGGCAUAGGGAGCUGAAGAGGGACAGGCUCUUGGCCAGGAAAAACAGCCCCAGAGCCACAGGUGUGCCAUCGAGUCUUCCUCCUCUCCCAUCCUUAAUCACUCCUGUUUGGUGACAGCACACAGCUAGGCCUGGAGCCCAGCAAAGAGCCCCUGGGUCCCAGAGGAAGUUGUUCUGGGGGCUGGAGACAAUCACAAAUGCCAGGUUUGUGAGCCCCAGACUCUGGUUCAUAGCAAGAGGCAGACUUGUGAACAAACCACCAGAUCACACCGUAAAACACGCUCAACGAGGAGUGGGUGCCCUUUCUAGGGACAGGCAGAAGGCUCCAUGGAGUGACCUUUGAAUGGGGACAUAAAAGUGGAUCCCUUCAACAGCCCCUGCACAGCCCCAAGUCAGGCCUCCAGCCCUUGGACUCACAGAUGUCCUCUGUAGACGACUGGAUGUCCUCCCGUGCUACCCUUUACCCCUGCAGCGAGGGGCACAGAGCCAGAGCCCUCCAGGUCCUCACCACUGGCAUCACCAACAUAGUGGACAUUUUCCCUCUCAGAAUGAAAAGGGAGUGAAAUUUCCCGUGAUCUUUCCACAAAUGACCAGCUUGGGGAGUGGGAGAGGAAGUGCUGCAGUGCCUGGGGAAGGGGCCCUGGAACAGUUCCUGGAAAUGGAGAGGGGUGGAUAGGGUGGAGACAAUGCUCAUGGAGUGCAGUAUGGGGCCUACCCAGAGUUGCUUGGCCACCCCUCUGCCUCUGAAUCAGGGGUGAUCAAUGAAGGAAAAUUACUGCAGCAGUUGAGUCCAUGUAAGAUGAUUGUGCACGUGUGUGUGUGUGUGUGUGUGUGUGUGUGUGUCCUCACUCACUUAAAAAAGACCAUUUCUGUGCAUUCUUUAUGCUGGAACCCUCCUCUGCCUCCCUCUCCAGGAAAUCCCAUAGGAUCCCAUACCUGCUUUAGAAUGUGUGUGAGACACUUCCCAGUGCCUGGCAUGUGGUAGGAGCUCAGUACAUGUAAACUGUUUUCCUUUGACCACUCAAAGUAGUCACUUGUUGGGGAGGCCAAUGGCGGCUUCCCCGGUCUCUGAGCUGAUGGGCGUCUGGUCCCUGCCUCCCCUUCCUUCACUGGCUGAUGACAAAUACCUGAAUGUCAUCACAUCCUCCGUGUCCUCAUCUGUUAUUCUGGAACACAGGCCAGGGAGGGUACAGGGUAGUCCCCCUUCAACAGAGGCUGGCCUUUCUUGGGAUGUGGGCUGGCUGGUGUUGGUCCAAGGAUGGAUGCAGAGGGUGAGGCACCCAUCCUGCUAGUCCGGCCGGAUGCUGGCAGGAGGGCGGGGUGAGGAGGGGCGGAGCUUCCAGAACAAAGGAGAAUGGGGAGCCCAGGGGCCAGCCUAGGCAUCAAAAAGGCUCUGCAGAGUGAACAGGCCACAGCACUGCCUGCCUCUGCCCCAGCAGUCAGCCAGCCGACCGCGCCUGCUCCCUCCUGCUUGCCCAAGGCCGGGCAAGUCAUCCCCACUCUGCUUCGAGAGGCCCCGUUUUCCAGCGUGAUUGCGCCGACACUGCUCUGUGGGUUUCUCUUCUUGGCGUGGGUUGCUGCUGAGGUUCCAGAGGAGAGCAGCAGGAUGGCCGGGAGCGGAGCCAGGAGUGAGGAAGGCCGCCGGCAGCAUGCCUUCGUCCCGGAACCUUUUGAUGGGGCCAAUGUCGUCCCAAACCUCUGGCUGCACAGCUUUGAAGUCAUCAAUGACCUCAACCAUUGGGACCAUAUCACCAAGCUAAGGUUCCUGAAAGAGUCCCUCAGAGGAGAGGCCCUGGGUGUCUACAAUAGGCUCAGUCCCCAGGACCAGGGAGACUAUGGGACUGUGAAAGAGGCCCUCCUGAAGGCCUUUGGGGUCCCUGGGGCUGCCCCCAGCCACCUGCCCAAAGAGAUCGUCUUUGCCAACAGCAUGGGUAAGGGCUACUAUCUCAAGGGGAAGAUUGGCAAAGUGCCCGUGAGGUUCCUGGUGGACUCUGGGGCCCAGGUCUCUGUGGUCCACCCAAACUUGUGGGAGGAGGUCACUGAUGGCGAUCUGGACACCCUGCAGCCCUUUGAGAAUGUGGUAAAGGUGGCCAAUGGUGCUGAAAUGAAGAUCCUGGGUGUCUGGGAUACAGCGGUGUCCCUAGGCAAGCUGAAGCUGAAGGCACAGUUCCUAGUGGCCAAUGCGAGUGCCGAGGAAGCCAUCAUUGGCACUGAUGUGCUCCAGGACCACAAUGCUAUCCUGGACUUUGAGCACCGCACAUGCACCCUGAAAGGGAAGAAGUUUCGCCUUCUGCCUGUGGGAGGGUCCCUGGAAGAUGAGUUUGACCUGGAGCUCAUAGAGGAGGACCCCUCCUCAGAAGAAGGGCGGCAGGAGCUAUCCCACUGAGAAGCCACCUUUUCUUUAACCUCCUAAAUAUUGGUGGGAAGACCCACCGCUGUGGGGGGGGUUGCAUAUCCUCAUGGGGGUCACUGGGCUUGGCCAGUCUGCUUAUCAACUCUUGCUCUUCUCUCCCCUUUGCCUCCCUCUGCAGGGGCCUUAAUCUGCCCCUGGUAGGGGAGGCUUCCACUGAACAGGCACAGGUGAGGGAGAGCAGGCUGGCUUAGAGGGACAGGGUCCCCAUGGUCAUCAAGCUGCUGUUGAUGACAAAGACUCAAAGGCUGGAAGAGCUCCCAAGGAAGCUAGAAAUGCUUGUCUUUGAAAGAACUGUGGGACCCCUUCAGAUUCCCUGAGGUAUGGCUUGGUCACUCUCAGGUCCUCAAAGCCUGUCUUAGUUGGGCUGGGUCCUAGCUGCAGGGUCUUUGUGAGGGUCACAGUUGCUCUGGGACACCUCCCUGAAGAGCCUUUCCACCUGUACAAUCGUAUUUUCUUUCUGUCAUUUGCUUUGAAGCCCAUUGUGCCUUAUGCCAAUAAUUCAAUUGCUGCAAACACCAAUAAAGAUUGAUUCAUGGAAAAACCAUGUAAUGUGUUGAUUGAGGAUGAGAGGAAUGUGAGAGGGAGUCAGCAUCAAAGACAAGGGAGAUUCACAUGUCUACUGAGUGCCUAGCUGGAGGUAUAAGAACAUAUACACAGGGAUGACAGGUCUUGGAUUUUCUAAGACAGUCUCAGCAUAAAAUAUUUUGACUUAUUCCCUCCAGAAUUGCUCUCAUUAUUUUGAAUCGUCAUAAUUCCUCUACUUAUUUCAAUCUGUAGUAUUUUAGCAUACAAAUUGCCUCUAUACCCAA